rnacentral:lncRNA from 1 species
AACAAAUAAAAAUUGAAAAUGAAAGAAAAAGAAGAAAAAAAAAACAAAGAAAAAGAAAAGAAAAAAAAUGUUAAUAAUAAUAAUAAUAAAUGCAGUCCUAGAGUUCUAUUAACUUCUCUUCCAGUAGGUGGAGCUGUGCCCACUGGGCCAAGCUUCUCCUCUCAAUAGGUGGGAACCAUUCACUGUGCAGCAGCUCUUUCUCCUAGACUGGGCGGGUCUCCAAUCCUGAGUGUCUAGGGCCUUGUCUUGUGUUUCCUCAAGCCAGGCCAUGCUCACCUGUGGCGCUCACCACAAUACUGGCUACACGCCAGGUCUGCUGCUCCUGGGAGCCCUGUUUUCAUGAACACCUGGGCUCACUCUCCCUGUUUGCCUCCCUCAGACCCUAAGUUUGUAGUGCUUGGGGCUGAGAUCCCCUAGCGAAUUUGCUUGCCCUCCUGUAGCCACGCCCCCGGUAGCUGGUGCAAGAGACCUCAGUUGUCAGCACUGGUGGGAGCGGUAGCCGGGAGUUCCGCGCCGAGAGUCCCGCGCCACUCCUGAUUCCCUCAGUCUGGUUAUUGCGUUCACAGGAGAGCUGGGAGUGGCCCUUAAGGUUUCCCCGCUGUGUGGAGAGAGAUGGUAGGGGAUUACACACCUGUCGCGCUGGUUUCAAUGCAGUUAUCUCCUUCGCCCGUGACGCCAUUUCUCUGCCAUGGUGAUAUCCCAUGCAAAUGGUGACCGUUUGUUCCCUUUGCCGGAUGACCAAUGCAACGGGUGGGUCCUGACUGUCUCUCCCAAUCCCCGUUUCAGUCCUGUGGCCACUGCCUAUGAAGGCUCGGUUGGCUUUUACCUCUGUAAGUUCCUAAGGGCCGGCCAAUUAUUUCAGCGGGAUCGUUAGUGCUGAGUCACACGAAGCAGGCGAACCAGAGCUUAAUUGCCUCCGAUUCGGGCUCUGUGUGUGUGCUCUGAGGGGCCCAGCCUGUACACCCCAGAUCCACGUCAGCUCAGCAUUGCCUAGUGAUCCUGAGCAAACAGCAUUUAGACAGUUUACGGCUCCCUAUGCCCGCGCAGUUGAAGAUGUCAGAGACUUGAUCUCUCUGCGCCUGCCACCAUGUUACAUCUCCUCAGUAAUAUUCAUGUUGCCCUUAUAGCUUCCUGGUAUAAGCAAGUUCUUGGGAUUAUACAAACUGCUGCUUCUGUUUCCAGUCCAGAUUUCUAGAAAUGAAACCCUGCCGCCGUGGCCUCCGUCCCUGGGCCGCGCUGACGAGCGUCGCGCUUGUCUGCGACCGUAGCAGAGCCGCCCUGGCCUCUGCAGCUCUUCAGCCCGGUGCCCGGCCCCAGGGGCCCAAGCGGCUGCCGCCGCGGCUCUCCGUCCCCCUCCUCCGGAGCACGGGUCCCCUGGCAGGGAGGUGCAGAACGACCCCAGAGCAGGCUCCACCCGAAGGUGCAGCGGCGAACAGGCCACUGAGACGCUCGAGGCUGCAGUCCAGCCUUCGGAGGACAGGGCUCGGCACGCAGCCCAGCUCCAACCUCAAGGUGCGGCUGCUGGACAGUGUAUACAGAGCCAUCAAGACAGCAAGCAGAAAGCAAAUGGCGGCUCCUGCGGAGUGGAUUUUCGGCACAGAAACCACAGCCCCGCCAACAAUCCCAAUCCACAAACUCUCCCUGUAUAAAAAAUAUUCAAAAAAAAAAAAAAAAGGCAGGGCGCACUGAGCUUUCUUUGCCUCGGGUACUUACAAUCCACUGCUGAUUACACAUUCAGCUUCUCUGCCCGGAGCGAAGGGAAAGAGGAAGCAGAUGGGAGCAAAGCGCCCGCGGCUCUGAGCAGCCUAGCGUCUCUUUUUCGAUUUCUUUGUUCUUCCUGCUCCUUGGCAAAGUGGUCCACUACAGAUUAACGGUGAAAGGAGCUUUAACAGACUGUGCGAAAUCUCUAUUAAAGCCGCUGCUUUGAGCACCACGCUCAGCACUUCAGCAACCCCUGUACGCAGCGGCCAUCUUCUGUCCACAUUCUGUGCACUGAAUUUUGUAAGGUUACUUCUUGAAUGAAGUUGGGGAAGGAAUUGAAUGACUCCUCAGUGUUAAAAGGCAGAGCAGAACAGAUUGUCAAAUUAUGCUCACUGUUUUUAAUCGCCAAUGCUAUAUACCUGUGUUCUGCAUGUGUUUCUUGUAUGAUAAAUAUCAUGGGAAUAUGAUUGACACAGCCUACAUAGCAUAUCACCUGAGAGAUGGACUUUUAAUCUUAAUAUAAAAGAUGGGGGACACCGCACAUGUCAAAUGAUAAUUAUGAAAGUUGAGUAUAGGGUGCAUGGGGAGUUUUAUUGUUUAAUCCAUCCCUAUAUGUUUAAACAUUUUUGUAAUAAUCUUUUUAAAAGAGAAAAUGUUGACUGCCUCAUAAGGAGAGGGAAAGACCAAAAAGAAUGGUUGACAAGGUUGGGACAAUCUGUCAAAACUAGAUUUGAGCUCUCAGUAAAGACAUUCUGGGAGUGUAAUUCCUUUGAGGUUGGGACCUUGGAAGGAAAACAUUCUAUAUAACAGGAAAAAAGGAGGAAAAGAGGAACUGAUAGUGAAGUGUUUUUCAUGCCAAGAUCCCAUAUGAAUGGCUUCAGUUCCUUUGUGGUUUAUGAGUCCAAUACAUCUGCUAAGUGGAGAUGGCCUCAUUUUGAAGAAAGUGCAGAAGGUUUGAAAAAAAUGUGAGUAGUAAAGAAGAGUGGAUAAGGAAUCAGUGACCUAAGCUCCAUAAGGAUUGUUAACUGAAACUAAGCAUAGAAUAAUAACUUGGGGGAAUGAAUGAGUGAAUUAUCUCUAUUUAGUGCUAGUGUGUAUCAUGAAUUUAGGGUGGUUCUAGUAGAUUUAUAAGAUUUAAAUCCAACAGCAAUCAGUCACUUAUAGGAAGACAUUCCUGGAAAAGGUAGAGAGAAAGGGUUUGGCCAGAGAGUAAGGAUUAAAUGGGGUUGAAUUAGGCCCAUUUGGAGCAGUGCUAAAUGCAGGUUGCCUGAGAGAUCUUGAGGCCUACCUUGAAGAGGGAAGAAAUAAAUUAGUAGAUAAAUGAGUAAGUGCAAAAAAUAAAGACUGGGAGUUGGAAAGCUGACAAAUUGAGGGCCUAUAAUGGAAGGACAGAGGGUGAGAUCAGAGGGAAGAAAGUCAGGCUAUAUUACUCCAGUGUCAGAGGUGUUCCUGGACAUGGCUGUAAGUGAGCUGGAAUAGAAGGACCCUAAUAUGGGUUAAAAGGAACUAAGAGGUAAAUUAUUGGUAGGUCUCUCCAGAUGGAUGUUGGUGACUGAUUCCUUACCCCUGCAAGUCCUUUGCCCAUGGAACCCCUGCCACUUUUUGUUCUUCCCAGAGCCUCUGCAGAGUCUACUGUCUGAAACACUAAGCUUUAGAUACUGCAAAUCAAUGGCAUAACUCUGGAGUAAAAGAAGUAUGGUAGAAUGCAGGGGCUUUGGUACAUAUAUCUUUUUCAUUUCUAUUUUUACAUCCAGUAUUCAUAAAUGUCUCUGGGGAAAAAAAAAAAAAAAACAAUUCAAGAGUACUCUGAGACAAUGAAACCCAUUAUUUUGUAUAAUUAAAAUGCACUAAUUAAAAAAAAAAAAAAGCCUCUGGGAAACUCAACCCAUUUUUGAGUCCCAAUCUGUGCAAGUGCAGUUGCCUUCCCAACAGACCCCUAUUUUAACAAUAAAUGUGUGCUGAAUCUUGGUUAAAAGGAGCAUUUUAUGCAGGUCUGUGAUAAACCCUCAAAUAUCUGUGACUCUGGUGCAUGGUCCAGGACUCAACUCUGGACUGUGAGCUGCAGGUGAUGGAGGGAGAUCGACCAUGUCUCUAAGAAGCCCAUGAAAGUCAAAAAUGACGUCUGCAUCCUGGAAAGUGAACUGUACACACUAAGGGCAAGAUCUUGCAUGUUGACACCAAGGUUACCCCCUUAGUCCCACCUGAAAAGAGGUAUGCCAUGUUUGACAACAGCCACACAACCUCAUGUACACUUCUGCCAGUAUGACAUCAGUAACCACUGUAUCACCUGAUGAGCCUCAGGGAAGUGCUGGCAGGAUCACACUGGGAAAGAGUAGUUGUUCACAAUGUGGAGGUGAUGAAGCAUAAUCCUUUCUUCCACCAGAAAGGUCAUUUUUCCCCUCAUUUUUUUGUUUUGUUUUGGUGUUACUUUCUCUCUUUUUAAAAAUUUUUUAGUUGAUGGUGCUGAGAAUUAAAUCCAGUGCUUCACACAUGCGAGGCAAGCACUCUGCCACUGAACCACAACCCCAGCCUCCUCUUUCUUUAAAGCAUCUUUAUUCUUACCUGAGAGUAAGGUAACUGCCUGGUUAAAAUUCCUAUCAACAACAACUGGCUAACCUUUUGCUUUGCAAAAAUACCAAGUCCAGGCAGCAUGAAAAAGUAACCAGCAAGGGGAAACUCUUAAGUGAUUUUCCAGUAAGGAACCAUUUAAGGAACCACAAUGGCAAAUUCAAAGUAUGGUUAUUUAUAAGAUA